GCGAAAUACGUUUGUCGAGAAGGGUUGUUGCUGGCCUCGCUUGGCACGUGCACGCCUGGAUUGCAAAUUCUCUUUACCUUCACACCUGUGCACACCCUGUAGCUUUGCGACGCUGACGACGUCGGUUUUCGACUCUGAAGCGUCGCUCGGCUGCGAGCUUUCAUCACACACACUUUGUCAAGUAUCAGAAUGUAACCGUCGCCGCGUGUAAAAAGCGCGAAAUGUA
rnacentral:misc_RNA from 1 species